rnacentral:rRNA from 1 species
CUACGGGCCGCAGCAGUGAGGAAUAUUGGUCAAUGGAGGCAACUCUGAACCAGCCAUCCCGCGUGCAGGAUGACAGUCCUAGUGAUUGUAAACUGCUUUUGUUUGCCAAGAACCGCAUCUACGUGUAGGUGCCUGACGGUAGCAAACGAAUAAGCAUCGGCUAACUCCGUGCCAGCAGCCGCGGUAAUACGGAGGAUGCAAGCGUUAUCCGGAGUUAUUAGGUUUAAAGGGUGUGUAGGCGGACUGUUAAGUCAGUGGUGAAAGUCUGUAGCUCAACUAUAGAAUUGCCAUUGAUACUGGUAGUCUUGAGUGCGGUUGAGGUAUGCGGAAUGUGUAAUGUAGCGGUGAAAUGCAUAGAUAUUACACAGAACACCGAUUGCGAAGGCAGCAUACUAAGCCGUUACUGACGCUGAUGCACGAAAGCGUGGGGAGCGAACAGGAUUAGAUACCCGGGUAGUC